rfam:Danio rerio chromosome 4, GRCz11 reference primary assembly.
GCUGAAAUUGCUCAGUUGGGAGAGCGUUAAACUGAAGAUCUAAAGGUCCCUGGUUCGAUCCUGGUUUUUGGCA